AUUGAACGCUGGCGGCAUGCCUUACACAUGCAAGUCGAACGGCAGCACGGGGGCAACCCUGGUGGCGAGUGGCGAACGGGUGAGUAAUGCAUCGGAACGUGCCCAGUAGUGGGGGAUAACCAGUCGAAAGACUGGCUAAUACCGCAUACGACCUACGGGUGAAAGCGGGGGACCGUAAGGCCUCGCGCUAUUGGAGCGGCCGAUGUCUGAUUAGCUAGUUGGUGGGGUAACGGCUCACCAAGGCGACGAUCUGUAGCGGGUCUGAGAGGAUGAUCCGCCACACUGGAACUGAGACACGGUCCAGACUCCUACGGGAGGCUG
rnacentral:rRNA from 1 species